UACGUAGGGGGCAAGCGUUGUCCGGAAUCAUUGGGCGUAAAGCGCGUGUAGGCGGUUCGGUAAGUCGGCUGUGAAAGUCCAGGGCUCAACCCUGGGAUGCCGGUCGAUACUGCCGGACUAGAGUUCGGAAGAGGCGAGUGGAAUUCCCGGUGUAGCGGUGAAAUGCGCAGAUAUCGGGAGGAACACCAAUGGCGAAGGCAGGUCUCUGGGCCACUACUGACGCUGAGAAGCGAAAGCGUGGGGAGCGAACAGG
rnacentral:rRNA from 1 species